rnacentral:tRNA from 1 species
GGGUCCUUAGCUCAGCUGGUUAGAGCGACGCGUUUACAUCGCGUAGGUCGUAGGUUCGAUCCCUACAGGACCCA